GAUGAAGAACGCAGCGAAAUGCGAUAAGUAGUGUGAAUUGCAGAAUCCCGUGAAUCAUCGAAUCUUUGAACGCACAUUGCGCCUUCUGGUAUUCCGGAAGGCAUGCCUGUUCGAGAGUCAUUAACAACCGUUUCGAUCCCUUUCUUUCAGAAAUUACAAAGAGGAAAAGGGUUUGGUUAUGGUGGAGGAGGGAAAGGGAGCGUUUAGCCUGUAAAAAAAGAGGCUGUGUUCCGCCUCCCCCCCAAAAUUGUACAGGCGGUCGUGUGCGCCCACGCAUCGAGGUGUUGUAAAAGCUGCCACGGCACUUUUCACCUGUGCAGUGCGAGAUUGGCCAGCCGGUUUAAAAACCCCUCCAAACAAUCAAAGGUUGACCUCGGAUCAGGUAGGGAUACCCGCUGAACUUAAGCAUAUCAAUAAGCGGAGGA
rnacentral:misc_RNA from 1 species